GACGAACCUUGCUAACGUUAUUCGGAAUUACUGGGCGUAAAGGGCGCGUAGGCGGCCUUCUAAGUCGAACGUGAAAUCCCCGGGCUCAACCCGGGAACUGCGUCCGAUACUGGAAGGCUUGAAUCCGGGAGAGGGAUGCGGAAUUCCAGGUGUAGCGGUGAAAUGCGUAGAUAUCUGGAGGAACACCGGUGGCGAAGGCGGCAUCCUGGACCGGCAUUGACGCUGAGGCGCGAAAGCCAGGGGAGCGAACGGG
rnacentral:rRNA from 1 species